rnacentral:lncRNA from 1 species
GCGGCGCGGGGAGGAACGCUGGCCGUGGCAACGGCCGUGGCGGCGACAAGAGCAAGUACUCAUGGAAGCGGAGCAAGGGCGACGGCGAUGGCGACCGCACCAUCUCUGCUUCAUCCAACCCCACCUCUGCUGCGAUGGAUACUGCGCGCUGGGAGGCAGCUGCGACCACCAGGCGCCAAGAGAACCAAGAUGGAGGGAUUUGGGUGGAGAAGCAACAGUCGGCGGUGGCGUCGGGGGAGACUGGUAGCGGCCAGACCUCAUCGCCGAUUCAUCGUCCACACGGCAAGCAGAACAUCACCCAGGUGCCCCCUACCAAGAACCCUAUCUCCUGCCCCAUAUGCAAGUCGAAUGAUCAUCCUCCUGCUAGAUGUCCUCAAGUUUUCUUUGAGAGAUGCAAUAAGUUAGGGCACUUGGCUUCUGUAUGCACGGCAUUCACUCCCUGGGAGUGUAUUGCCCCAAUGUGUGCCUUUCAGUCGAGGGGGCAGGGGUUUUGCUAUAUCCAUGAUUCAUGCACUGCUAGUCAGCUUAAGGAGAGGUCCAAUAAUAUUGUUGUUACCAUUGUUGAGGGGGAAACUUCGACUAGGCAGAUGGAAUUGGACCUGUCUGACUAUCUUGCUACUGGAUGGCGCUGUUCAGCACAUGCCAUUGGUCCUGGGGUGUAUGUGGUGCGAUUUCCUAAUCCUAGAGUGGUUGCUCAAAUCUGCUAUGUGGGAAAAGUUACUCUGAAAACGAGUGGGGCUAUUAUACAUGCCACUCAAUGGUCCUCAGCUGUGGGAUCGAAAAGCAUCAUGGAAGUGGCUUGGGUGAGGGUGAUUAAUAUCCCACUGGAUAAAAGAAGUGAGAGGAAUGAAGCCUUUGUGGCCUCGCUAGUGGGGAUUCCACUAGAGAUCGAUAAUGCAACCUUGCAUCGUCCUGCUUCUGUUCGUGUGAAACUUGGGUGCAGAAAUGUUGAUGCGAUACCUGGAAUAGCAGAAUCAUUUUUGGGAGGACACUUCUAUGAUUUCGUUUAUGAGGUUGAACAGGUGCUGAUCAGGGACCCUAAUCGUGAGAACAAUGAGGUUCGGGUGCCUACUGGAGAUGAGGGAGGGAAACAUGAAAAGAGCAAAAAGGUUGUGAAUCCUGAUACUCAAAUGGGCAGUACUUCAUCUGGGCUUGGGGGGAAAUCUCUCCCCAUUCCCCAGCAUGUAGUGCCUGACCCGAUGUGAGAAUCCCAAGAGAGUGUUGAGUGUGAUGACUCUCUCCACACCUCACUGCUUAUUGAAACCUUGAAGUAUGAGCAUGAACAGAGUGUGAAAGAGAAAGUAAGUACUCCUCCCCAACAGACUCCUAUAGAAAACAAUCCUGAAGAUAAAGAAACGGUGAAAUCCUACUCUGAUGUGGUUAAAUCCCUGCCAUAGGUUGUGGAGGUGGUUGGACAUCAUGACUCAGCUCUGAAGGUGGUCAAUGAAUAUAGGGUGGAAUCUCCUGAUGUGAAUGCUGAGGUGAUCCCCACUCCUCCUUUGGUCACUGAGGAAAACUUACGCUUCAGCUUGAGAAAUGUGCAGAGUAAACUGGAGCGGGUGGAGGACAAGGCUGCAGCCGCGGCUAAGAAGAGAAACAUGGAAGGUAACAAUUUAAAGCAUAACUCGUUUGAUGCCUUGUAUGAUCCUGUUCUUAUUCUAAGAGCUAUUAAGAUGGGCGUUGAUAUACCAGACUCUGAUUUUGCUAAUAUAGAUAUUUUAAGAGAACUGGAAAGAUCCAGAAAUAGUGAUUUCUGGGAAGGUAAAGAUGUUAGUAAUAAUGAUAGUAAUAACAUCCUGAUGCUGACAAAUGGAAAAGGGGACCAAACUCCUCUGGACAUGAAAUGGAGUGAGGAAAAUGAGCUGGAUGAGGAACCUUUUACUUUAGUGCGGUCUAGGAAAAAAAGGAGAGAAAAGUGAAUGUUACUAUAUCUCGACCUGUUACUAGAAGUCAAAAAGGAAAAAAAGCCCAUGCGCAGAGUAGUGGUAGCCCUACCAUGCCCCCUGGCAGGAAUGCCAAACGGGGGAAGAAAUCUAAUGUGAUUAAAUGAAUGGUGUUUUUUGGAAUUGCAGGGGAGCAGGCAAAAGGGAAUGAGUACCUGCUUCUCUGACAUGAUAAAAGACCAUUCCCUAGAUUUCCUUUGUCUUCAGGAGACUAUGGAAAAGAAGUUCCCUCCUAAGAGUAUCAGGAAAAUAGACCCUGUGGCUCAAUUCGAUUGGAAUUGGAUUCCAUCGAUUGGUAAAGCGGGGGGAAUCCUCUGUGGUAUUAAGAAGGAGACCUUAGAGGUUAUUUCGUGGACUCCAAGUAGGUUUUGUUUGCAGGACAACCUUUACGAUAUCAAACGUAAGAUUGUCUGGGCUCUCAUUACUGUAUAUGGAGCAGCCCAUGAUGACAGUAAAGAUGACUUCCUGGUAGAAUUAGUCGCGAUGUGUGUGCAUACACAUGCCCCAUACAUUGUGGGGGGGGGGGUUUAAUAUCCUCAGAGAAGCUUGUGAUAAAAAUAAAGCCUUGAAUAGAUCGCAUUAUGUGGAUAAAUUCAACUCCAUUAUAAACUCUUUGAACCUUCGAGAGAUUUAUAUGGGGGGAGGCAAGUAUACAUGGACUAAUAAUCAAAAGCACCCUACUCUGGAAAAACUCGACAGAGUCCUGAUGAGUUUUGAAUGGGAGGACAUCUUUCCUUUGGUCACGGUUCGUAAACUGGUGAGGGAUGUUUCGGACAACAAUCCACUUCUUUUGUCCUCGGGAGAGGAGAGGCAAAAGAACCAUAAUCAGCACGAAUUCAGGUUUGAACUUAGUUGGCUGUGUGACGAGAAUUUUUACCCUAUUGCCAAGGAGAUUUGGGAACAACCUGUCAGAACAAAUGAUCCUAUUGAUAUUCUUAAUAUCAAACUAAAGCGCAUCAAAAAGUACUUUAAAGGGUGGGGCUCAAACAUUUUUGGUGAUGCCAGGAAGAGAAAAAAAGAAAUUAAAAGGGAGCUAGAAGAAAUAGAGAGUAAAGAAGAGGAGAGACCUCUCGACCCUGAGUCAUAUGAGAGGAAAACUAUGCUACAGAUAGAACUCAGCGAGAUUCUAUUCAAAGAAGAGUUAUAUUGGCUGCAGCAGUCCAAUGAACGCUGGCUCUUAAAAGGAGAUCGAAACACAGCCUUUUAUCAUAGAGUGGCUAAUGGCAAAAAGAGGAAAAACACGAUCCAAUCCCUUACAGAUGGGGAUGUUGUGAUCGAGGGGACCACCAACCUGCUAGCUCAUGCCACAGCUUACUAUAAGGAGCUGUUUGGACCUGCUAGAGGGAACCUGUUUCACCUGUCACCUGAUAUGUGGGCUGAGACUGAGAAAUUGACCGAAGACGAUAAUACCCUGCUUACUAGUAAGUUCACUAAAGAAGAGGUGAAAAAAGCUCUUUUCAAUAUGAAGAGCAACCGAGCCCCUGGCCCCGACAACAUACCUGUAGAGUUUUAUAAACAUUGAUGGGAGUUUGUGAAAAAAGAUAUGAUGAACCUUUUCGAUGCCUUUCACAGCAAUUCUUUAGAUGUGGCUCGGCUGAAUUAUGGGGUGAUUACCCUUAUUCCUAAGAUAAAUGGAGCUAAAAAAAUUCAACAAUAUAGACCUAUUUGCUUGCUACGAUGUCCUUACAAGCUCAUUACUAAAGUGUUGGACAAUAGAGCCUCCUUGUUUGCAGAUAUUUUGAUCAGCAAACACCAAAAUGCAUUCAUAAAGCACAGGAACAUUAUGGAUGGCAUUUUAACCCUUCAUGAAAUUCUUCAUCACACACAAAGAAAAAAGAAGAUUGGUGUGGUGUUGAAACUCGAUUUCAAAAAAUCAUAUGAUAAGAUCAAUUGGGAUUUCCUCAUUGAGUGUCACAGCAACAGGGGCUUUGGCCCCGUGUGGUGUGGGUGGAUCCAGAAGAUCCUUAGGAAUGGGACCAUUAGUAUCAAAUUGAAUAAUGAGAAAGGCUCUUACUUUCAAAGCUGCAAGGGGGUGCGACAAGGGGACCCGCACUCGCCUUUUUUGUUCAAUAUGGCUGUGGAAGCCUUGUCCAAAAUGAUCCUGAAUGCUCAAAAAGAUAAAAUGAUAACAGGUCUAGCUCCAGACCUGGUCGAUGGGGGGGGGUAGCUAUCCUCCAGUAUGCAGAUGAUACGAUCGUGUGCUUUGAACAUGACAAAGAAGCUGCGGUUAAUCUGAAACUCCUGCUUUAUCUGUUCGAACUUAUGUCAGGGCUUAAGAUUAAUUUUUUGAAGAGUGAAGUUCUUUGCAUUGGAGGGGAUGAUGAGAUUCUUGACUUUUAUUCUGAGCUCUUUAACUGCCAGAUUGGCCAUUUCCCUAUGAAAUACUUAGGAGUUCCUGUGAGUUAUUCUACUCUUCAUGCAAUAGACUGGGAUUUUGUUAAUGAUAAAUUCCUUAAAUGAUGUGCAUCCUGGAUCGGUAAUGCGGCCUCCUUAGGAGGGAGAUUGACCCUUCUCAACUCCUCCCUUACGAGCAUUGUGUUCUACUACAUGUCUAUGUUCAUGCUAUCUAAGAAAAAUAUUGAGAGACUAGAUAAGCAUAGAAAAAAAUUAUUUUGGCAAGAAACUGAUGGUCGAAGAAGAUAUCACCUGGUCAGAUGGUCUAGGAUAUGCAGGUCUAAGAAAAAAGGAGGUUUGGGAGUUAAAGACCUGCAUAGACAAAACAUCAGUCUUCUCACCAAAUGGUGAAGGAAGCUGGAAACCCAACAAGGCCUUUGGCAGGAGAUAAUAUGUGCUAAAUAUUUCAGAAACGACACGGUCCCCUCAAUGAAGAGUAAAUUUGGGAUUCCCCCAUAUGGAAAGCUAUUGUAAAAGUGAAGGAGACUUAUUUGGCAGGGAGGGGGUGAUUCUGAACUCUGGGAAUAUAGCCAGGGUAUGGAAUGAUCCAAUUAGGGGUGCUUCUCCCUUGCGUUGUAAAUUCCCGGCCCUGUUCAGUAUAUGUAAUUAUCAGGAAAUUACAGUUGCUAACAUCAAAAUUUUUGAGGGUGAUGACCUUUUUAGAAGGAACCUCCACCUGCCUCUUAUGGAUCAGUGGAACGAUCUGGUUGGGGUGGUUAACUCUUGGCAUCUUUUCGAUGAGACAGAUGGCAUUCUAUGGAGAUUGGGAAGUAAAGGUAAAUUCUCGACCAAAUCGGUAUAUUCCUAUCUGGAGAGAAAUCAGGCAGGAUGUGAUUUCAGGUGGAUAUGGAAAGCAAAAAUCCCUUUAAAAAUUCAGAUUUUUCUCUGGCAACUAUUCCAAGAUGCGGUUUUGACUCGAGAUGUCAUGAGAAGACGAAAAUGGGCAGGAAAUCCUAAAUGCUCGUUCUGUAAUGAAGUGGAAACCUCACAACAUCUCUUUUUCACUUGUCCUGUGGCUAGGGUGGUGUGGAGGACAGUUGGGUGUGUUUUUGGCACAUCGAUGUGCCCAAACAACCUUUGGCAGUAUUUCUCCUGGUGUUACAUCUUCCUCCCUGAUGGGGCUAAAUUUUAACUUUUGGUUUGGCAGCUAUGUGCUGGGCGAUUUGGAUCAGUCGCAAUCAGGCUACCUUUGAGCACAAGUCUCUUAAAAGUCCUUUUAAUGUGGUGUAUGCUGCUUGUGGUUUUUUGACAUACUGGGCAGGUUUGAUGGCUGGUGAGGACCGGGAGUCCAUGGAGCGUGGAGCCAAGAUGCUGAGGUCGAACGCGUCGGCGAUGAUGAGGAUCUGUGCACCACCGUCAACAACGAACUGAUGCUGUUGCACCAUCUAAGAAACUUCAUCAUUAUGUCUGCCUAGUUUGGUUAACUCCACUCCUGCGUGAGUGUUUUUGGUCUCCCUUGAGUUUGCCAGUGGGCAUGGUGGUGUUGGACUGUUAUAGCUCUUGCUGGAGUUUGCCUGGUUCUGUUAGGUCUAGAGGUUUUGCGUGAUGCUAGGUGUCACUGGGUUUUCGCCCCGCGAUGAGCUGCUCGAUGACGGGUGCUCAUAGUGGGUUUCCCAGUGAUGCUUUGAUCUCGCCUUACCCCUUUCUAGUUUCCUUAUGCUGUAGUCGUUUAUGUUGGGUCGUAUGUAGUGAACUUUGUAUUUCCGUUAUGCUUUUAAUGGAAAGGGGUUAUGGCCCGGGUCAAAAAAAA